UACGUAGGGGGCUAGCGUUGUCCAGAAUCAUUGGGCGUAAAGCGCGUGUAGGCGGCCCGGUAAGUCCGCUGUGAAAGUCCAGGGCUCAACCCUGGGAUGCCGGUGGAUACUGUCGGGCUCGAGUCCGGAAGAGGCGAGUGGAAUUCCUGGUGUAGCGGUGAAAUGCGCAGAUAUCAGGAGGAACACCAAUGGCGAAGGCAGCUCGCUGGGACGUGACUGACGCUGAGACGCGAAAGCGUGGGGAGCAAACAGG
rnacentral:rRNA from 1 species